CUUUUAGUGAAACCAGACUUAACGGCUGUGUAACAUAACAUAUUAGAUGUUGCUGUGUUUAAUACAGUCAUAAUAUUUACAUUCCGAGUACAUGAAUCUGUCGUGAAGUUCGCCUGAUCUUUUCUCACACACUGAACGAGAAGAAUUACAACACUACACUUAGCAUGCUGUGAAAAGAAAAUUUGGCAAGCCCAGCUGAGAAUUGAAACCACAUGCGGAUUGGUAUAGCGAUUUAAGGAUUCAUAUUCAG